rnacentral:lncRNA from 1 species
GCGGAAGCCGGGAUCUACAGCAGCCGGAAGGACGAUAAAUACUCGCGCCGGCGCCCUGUGGUCCCCUAGUGCCCGGGACCGCGUGGUGCCGCUGGCCUGUCCCGGUUCCCCUGGAUAUGGACGUUGCCGCCGCCUCCCGCAAGAAUGGCAGGGUUCGUGAGUCCUCUUUCUCAAAUAAAGUGAUUUAACCUAG